UUCCUCCCUUUAAUUUGAAACGCGAACGCGAAUGGCUGUAAAAUAGGAAGACAAACAUAAAGAUGAAGUGCUUAAUUCAAGGUCACACAAUGUCGGGGAUGGACCUCCAGAUUUCCUUACUGACCUGCAUUAUCUUGUGGAUACCUGAGUGAAUUCCACACCACCCAUUUUAUAGAUGAAACCACUGAGACAUGGAGCAACUGACUGAGUAGUCACUGCCCCACCCCUGCCUGGAGCCUCACACAUGACUCGUCUCCUCUCAGUGACCACAGGUUGGUUGAGGGGUUUAACAAGGCUAAGAAGGUGAGACGUGGUCUUGUAACACAGUGGUUAAGAAUGUGACUUUGGAGCCAGCCUGCUAGGGGCUGAAUUCUGACUCAGCCAUUUACUAACUGUGUGACCUUAGGUGGAGUCUCACUCUGUAGCCCAAGCUGGAGUGGUGUGAUCUCGACUCACUGCAACCUCCGCCUCCUGGGCUCAAGUGAUUCUCGUGCCUCAGCCUCCUGAGUAGCUGGGACUACAGUUGUCCCUUGGUGUGGGAUUGCUUCCAGUACCUCUGUGUGU
rnacentral:antisense_RNA from 1 species